rnacentral:rRNA from 1 species
UGGGGAAUCUUCCGCAAUGGACGAAAGUCUGACGGAGCAACGCCGCGUGAGUGAUGACGGUCUUCGGAUUGUAAAGCUCUGUUAAUCGGGACGAAUGGUUUAUGUGCAAAUAGUGCAUAGACAUGACGGUACCGGAAUAGAAAGCCACUGCUAACUACGUGCCAGCAGCCGCGGUAAUACGUAGGUGGCCAGCGUUUUCCGUAAUUAUUGGGCGUAAAGCGCGCGCAGGCGGACUAGCCAGUCAGUCUUAAAAGUUCGGGGCGUAACCCCGUGAUGGGAUUGAAACUACUAGUCUAGAGUAUCGGAGAGGAAAGUGGAAUUCCUAGUGUAGCGGUGAAAUGCGUAGAUAUUAGGAAGAACACCAGUGGCGAAGGCGACUUUCUGGACGAACACUGACGCUGAGGCGCGAAAGCCAGGGGAGCGAACGGG